rnacentral:rRNA from 1 species
AUCGUGCUGGGAGACAGUGUCAGGCGGGCAGUUUGACUGGGGCGGUCGCCUCCUAAAGAGUAACGGAGGCGCUCAAAGGUUCCCUCAGAAUGGUUGGAAAUCAUUCAUAGAGUGUAAAGGCAUAAGGGAGCUUGACUGCGAGACCUACAAGUCGAGCAGGGUCGAAAGACGGACUUAGUGAUCCGGUGGUUCCGCAUGGAAGGGCCAUCGCUCAACGGAUAAAAGCUACCCCGGGGAUAACAGGCUUAUCUCCCCCAAGAGUUCACAUCGACGGGGAGGUUUGGCACCUCGAUGUCGGCUCAUCGCAUCCUGGGGCUGUAGUCGGUCCCAAGGGUUGGGCUGUUCGCCCAUUAAAGCGGUACGCGAGCUGGGUUCAGAACGUCGUGAGACAGUUCGGUCCCUAUCCGUCGUGGGCGUAGGAAAUUUGAGAGGAGCUGUCCUUAGUACGAGAGGACCGGGAUGGACAUACCUCUGGUGUACCAGUUGUCGUGCCAACGGCAUAGCUGGGUAGCUAUGUAUGGACGGGAUAAGUGCUGAAA